rnacentral:rRNA from 1 species
CUACGGGGUGCUCCAGUGGGGAAUAUUGCACAAUGGGCGCAAGCCUGAUGCAGCCAUGCCGCGUGUAUGAAGAAGGCCUUCGGGUUGUAAAGUACUUUCAGCGGGGAGGAAGGGAGUAAAGUUAAUACCUUUGCUCAUUGACGUUACCCGCAGAAGAUGCACCGGCUAAGUCCGUGCCAGCAGCCGCGGUAAUACGGAGGGUGCAAGCGUUAAUCGGAAUUACUGGGCGUAAAGCGCACGCAGGCGGUUUGUUAAGUCAGAUGUGAAAUCCCCGGGCUCAACCUGGGAACUGCAUCUGAUACUGGCAAGCUUGAGUCUCGUAGAGGGGGGUAGAAUUCCAGGUGUAGCGGUGAAAUGCGUAGAGAUCUGGAGGAAUACCGGUGGCGAAGGCGGCCCCCUGGACGAAGACUGACGCUCAGGUGCGAAAGCGUGGGGAGCAAACAGGAUUAGAUACCCUAGUAGUC